rnacentral:misc_RNA from 1 species
GGGAGGGAAAAAUAGAAGUAUGCCCCUAGCCACAACACUAGAAAACGGCAUUUGUAAAAGAAAAUUGAACUCUGCACAAAGCGUCAGCAUCAGUAUUUGUUACACCUAUGAAGAAUCAAUCAAAUCCAAAGAGUCAUUUAAACAGUGUGAUCCCAACCAUCAUGAUGAAUACAAGGGUCAAGCAGGAUCCACAAAAUCCGUACAAUGACUCGAAUAUAUUCAUUCCUACAUUAGCACCUAAAUAAUCUACACCCAUUCAAUGGAUAUAUAGACAGUAUUGCCAGCAGCCAACUCUUCAUACCGAGGCACACUUUGUCAUCGACCACCAGCUUCAACACCAACGAAAAGAAUGCUGCAUCUGUUAAAACCCAUUGACUUCUAAUUAACUGAAUCAAGAUGGCAAUGGCUGCUAAUCCUGGUUUACAAAUUCAUCAAAUUAGCUUCCGCAGCAAAUAUAGCCUUCUACGAGUCCAACAUCUCAUCCUGGAUCUCAUUAGGAGCAAUAAGCCCUGGAAUAGAAAGCAUCCUCUGUCUCUCUCUUUCUCUCUGAGCAGCAGCUUCUUCUGCAUAAAGAUCUUUAUUAUCCUGAGCUGAAAAUUCUUUUGAUUGCACAAGAAAGUCUCGGAUGUGAUUUUUAAAUACAGAAAGGUCAGUUCUUGACUCAAUUAGCCCAUUAACAAAUUGAGUGACCUCUGAUGCAGUCAUGUUGGGGAAUGAUGUUCCCAAAAGUUUAAUGGUGUAUUCACGAACAAAAAUUGCAUUGUUUGGGUAUGGAUAAGGAACUGUUGUAGCAUCCCAUAAAGGCUCAGUCAAAGCACCACUUUCAACCAGACAAAACAAAUGCUGCAACACUAAGACGUGCAGCUUGAAGCCAGGUUUGUGAAAAGUAUCUGUUAAGACGGCAAAUAUUUCCUGCUCAAUUGUGAGAAA